AUUUCUGCAUUUUAAUUACAUUUUAAUAUGAUUAAUUACAUAUAUAAUUACAUGAAGUAGCUCAUAUUAGACUAAAAUCAAAAGUAUGCAAAAGGGUGCAAUUUGAUUGGUUGGUUGACUAGGUUGCACAAGACCAUUCUCAAAUUGUUUACACUUGAUUAUAAUGAGUAAGCAUCAGCCCCCAUCUUAUCUCAAGCUAUAAAAACGUGGAGGAACCACAAGAAUCCAGCAAAUACAAGCCUUCCAAUCAUCAUCCUCCAUUUGGCCUUGUUGGGAAUGGGUAGAUAAGUGAAGACUUUGUGUUUUGGUCUUCAUUUCACUUGUCUUCUUCCAAAAAACGACCAGACCAAUUCCUUAAGCUUCUCUUCUUAUUUCUUCACUUCCAUAUUCACAUAAGAGAACAUCAAACCAUAAAAACUCAUAGAAGUAUAGCUAGGACAAGUUCUGCACCUUUUCUAGCUGAAAAUCCUAUGUUUUGAAGUUUGAAUUCAUCUCUAAUCAAGUCUUGUAGCACACCUUAUCUAAGGACUGAUCCUUUCACUUCAUAGACCAUAUUGAACUUGAGGUAAUGAUGUACAUGUUUAGAAGUUGACCUAGCCAAGAGCGGCCAGUCAGAUAUUUGUUCAUAUGCCAUGCUUCGCGCCAUUUUUGUAGCCGAGC